GAUGAACGCUGGCGGCGUGCCUAAUACAUGCAAGUCGAGCGAACAGACGAGGAGCCUGCUCCUCUGACGUUAGCGGCGGACGGGUGAGUAACACGUGGAUAACCUACCUAUAAGACUGGGAUAACUUCGGGAAACCGGAGCUAAUACCGGAUAAUAUAUUGAACCGCAUGGUUCAAUAGUGAAAGACGGUUUUGCUGUCACUUAUAGAUGGAUCCGCGCCGCAUUAGCUAGUUGGUAAGGUAACGGCUUACCAAGGCAACGAUGCGUAGCCGACCUGAGAGGGUGAUCGGCCACACUGGAACUGAGACACGGUCCAGACUCCUACGAGAGGCAGCAGUAGGGAAUCUUCCGCAAUGGGCGAAAGCCUGACGGAGCAACGCCGCGUGAGUGAUGAAGGUCUUCGGAUCGUAAAACUCUGUUAUGAGGGAAGAACAAAUGUGUAAGUAACUAUGCACGUCUUGACGGUACCUAAUCAGAAAGCCACGGCUAACUACGUG
rnacentral:rRNA from 1 species